UGUCAGGCCUCUGAGCCCAAGCCAAGCCAUCGCAUCCACUGUGACUUGCACAUAUACACCCAGAUGGCCUGAAGUAACUGAAGAAUCACAAAAGAAGUGAACAUGCCCUGCCCCACCUUAACUGAUGACAUUCCACCACAAAAGAAGUGUGAAUGGCGGGUCCUUGCCUUAACUGAUGACAUUACCUUGUGAAAGUCCUUUUCCUAGCUCAUCCUGCCUCAAAAAGCACCCCCACUGAGCACCUUGCGACCCCCACUCCUGCCCGCCAGAGAACAAACCCCCUUUGACUGUAAUUUUCCUUUACCUACCCAAAUCCUAUAAAACGGCCCCACCCUUAUCUCCC
rnacentral:lncRNA from 1 species